rnacentral:rRNA from 1 species
GACGAACGCUGGCGGCGUGCUUAACACAUGCAAGUCGAACGGAAAGGCCCUGCUUUUGUGGGGUGCUCGAGUGGCGAACGGGUGAGUAACACGUGAGUAACCUGCCCUUGACUUUGGGAUAACUUCAGGAAACUGGGGCUAAUACCGGAUAGGAGCUCCUGCUGCAUGGUGGGGGUUGGAAAGUUUCGGCGGUUGGGGAUGGACUCGCGGCUUAUCAGCUUGUUGGUGGGGUAGUGGCUUACCAAGGCUUUGACGGGUAGCCGGCCUGAGAGGGUGACCGGCCACAUUGGGACUGAGAUACGGCCCAGAAUCCUACGGGAGGCAGCGGUGGGGAAUAUUGCACAAUGGGCGGAAGCCUGAUGCAGCAACGCCGCGUGCGGGAUGACGGCCUUCGGGUUGUAAACCGCUUUCGCCUGUGACGAAGCGUGAGUGACGGUAAUGGGUAAAGAAGCACCGGCUAACUACGUG